UGCGGGAUCAGCUUAAGAAUGUCCAAUCUUAUCUGAUCUCGGAAGCUAAGCACAGUCGGGCCAGGUUAGUGCUGAGAUGGGAGAGCGCUGUGAAUAUCAGGUGCCACAG
ensembl:rRNA 5S_rRNA 5S ribosomal RNA